UUCAAUCUGGUUCUCUCACCCUUUCAUUUUUCGCUUGUUUUUCUGCAACUUCAGGGACACUUCCGACCAAGUAAUCUCCUUUAUUACUCUUCAACGCUUCAGUUGCUAAGAUAUGCCGAGACUAUUUGCUAAUCUUGGGAUAUACUCAAACCUACAAUCCUUAAAAUUUAACAGUAGCUGAUGAAUGUCAUGAAUAUACGCACUGACCAAUGAUUUGUCUGGGCUUUUUGUUUUGAAUUUCCUUAUUAUUGACAAAGAGUCUCCUUCAAUAAUAACUUUUUCCCACUGCAUGUAAACGCCGAUCUGGAGUACUUUUCGACACUCGACUGCCUCCGUAGCAAAGGCUGAUGAAACCCGUUGGUGGACCUCCGAGCAAGAUAGGAGAACUGUACCCUCUCUGUCUCUGGCCACUAUUCCCACAACCGCUUUAUUUUGUCUACCUUCAUAUGCUGCGUCAAAAUUGAUCUUAACAACCCGGUCAGAUGGCUUUUUCCAUUUUUUAACAAAUAGCCUAUAAUGCACAACAAAAGAUCCGACACUGGGAUGCCGAGCUUUGUGAAAAAACCCAGGACAUUCACGGAAGAAAUAGUCCAUAGUUUCUGUUCCUGAGCCACACCGGGGACAUACUGAUGUAUUCGUUAGCCUUCUAAGUAGCAUAUUAACACGUGUAGCUAGGAAAUUCCAUGAUAUCUUCCAAGCUGUAAUUUUUAUCUUUGAAGGAAGAUCUAGUAGCCAUAGUUUUCUGUAAAAGUCCUUAUAGUCGGCUUGUAAAGCAUAAGCUCUAGGAUCAUCUUCAGUACUUUGUAAUAGUUUAUAGGCACUACGUACUGUGUACUCACCCGACGCUUCAGCACUCCAGACUUGGAAAUAUUUUUGUGGUCUU